AGUAGACAGAUGAGCAUUUGUACUGAUCAAUAUAGUGAUGCAUCUAUCUCGAGUAGCUUUAUCUAAAUCCCUUUAUGAGAGUAACAUGCAGCCAUAUAUGUGGACAAGGCUAAUGGAGCCUCUUGUGGCAUUCCUGUAGCUUAAGUCAAAUAUCAUGAUCAAGUCGAACGGAAGCCAUUAGCCCGAAUUCGUUGAAUGUUGUCAUUAUUCUUUAAUGGAAGUCACUUAGGAAUCUUCAGUCAAGACAAAAACUAAUAAAACGAAAGGAAAAGCAAAUCACAGAAAUUAAUUGCGCUUUUCUUUUGUGGCGUCUUGUUUCCUCAAACUUGUGCCAUGACGCUAAUUGCGCUGAUCAACAUACAGGAAAAUAGUCCUCAGAAUAAGAGAAUAACUGAAAAACAGCUUUUUUUUUGAGAUUCGAUUUUUAACCCCACUAAAUCUUCUCAAAAAAGAAUUCAUAACACUAAUAUUCUAAUAUUUUAUAACACUUCUUCGGCUAACAAACAUUACUUUUUUGUAAGAUUCCUGAACUUCGUGUCGCAUAAACUGAGUAUUUAUUUCCCUGUCAAAGCUUCAAGUUUUGGUGACAGAAGCAAUCGAUUUCUAGUUUUCAUUGAAUCGACGGAAAAAGAUUUUCUUUGACAAUUUAGAUUGAACUUGAUGUCAUUAGUGCUAGCCAUGACUCAAAUGUUUUGUGAUAUACCCUCUUAUUAACGUACGGUUCCCUGUUGAUAUAUCUUUUACAGAAAAAAUUGUAAGUCGAGAUCUGAAAUAGUCGAUCUGAGACUAAACGCAAUUUUUGUGCUUUGAUGUUAAUUUUCUGGCUGAAAUAUGAAAAAGCACAUUUCUAACGUAAAGUGGCUAUUAAUCCUACAGGAUUUCUUCAUGGAUUUAAAGAAUUUGCUCAAAUCAAAAUAAAGUAGGGUUACCUUCCCUACGUUAAAAAAAAAGACAAUUAACAGGGUUAAAACGACUAUUAAGAGGGUUAAAAUAUGCAAACAGACAAUUUAGUUUGAAAUAAAUGGGGCAACAGCUGUUCAAAUGAGUCUGUAGUCAAGAAAUACACACAGAAGCUGGUCCUUCUACUGUGAUCGCCUUCACUUCCUUCGCGAGGACGGAAGUAGUGUUAGAAUGGUAAUAUAAACUAGCAUAGUACAGAAAAAUAGUCCGAAAUAAACAGAUUUCACUAAUUCCAUCUAUCUAGCUAAGAAAUUCAGACCGAGAAAGGUGUGGCUUGCAUGAGGAGACGAAACUCGACACGAGUUGCAAGCAGACAAUUUAGUUUUAAAUAAAUGAGGCAACAGCUGUACAAAUGAGUCUGUAGUCAAGAAAGACACACCGAAGCUGGUCCUUCUACUUCGUUCACGAGGACGGAAGUAGUGUUAGAAUGAUAAUAUAAACUAGCAUAGUACAGAAAAAUAGUCCGAAAUAAACAGAUUUCACAGUU